UGGGCACGGGAGCGCCCCUGCCAUGCUUGGAGACCGCCAUUCCUGCCUUGUUAUGUGCCAUGCGCAUUAUCUGGCUCGCUCUCCGUGUGUAUUGUCUCCCACCAGACGGCCAAAUAACAAUCGACAUAACAAAUGGUUUUACCAGCGGAACGAUAAUCAUCCCACAGCGGUCGCUUGUUUGUUUGUUAUCGCGCAAAUCCAGCGCAGCGUCCACAGCCCUUUGGGUCCUCACUGCCCUUCUCUCUUGCGUCGACGACGGAGCCUUUUUGAUUUCAAAACUUUUUCUUUUGAUUCUUCAAAGCUGGGAAAAGGUGCAACGACUUUAUUUAAAUUUUUUUUUCUUUUUCAUUCUUCUGAUUCCUGGAUUUGAAACUUUUUUGGAGGAAUAAUACAAACGAAACAAUUGAAAGACACCUAUUUCGGGGGUUCAAAACCUUAAAAAAAAAGUGAAACAAUGGAAGGGGAUUCAUGGGAAAAGUAAAAGAAAAAAAUAAAACAUUUGAAACAUGAAAUGAAAUCGAAAAGAAGAAUCCACCAGGUGGUGAUUGGAAGAAUGAAAAAUAAUAAUAAUAAAAAAAAAAGGUUUCUUGUUUUUUGUGGGCGUGUUAAUUGUAAUGGACUUGGAAAAUUUGUGAGGCGCGAAACUUGGAACUUCGACCUCAGCAGCAGCAGCUCGUUGCUGCCUGCCCCCGGAAUGUAAAUGAGCCUUCUAAUUUCACCGCAUUGUAAAUUGCUCCUGUUCCAAUCUCCUCCCAGGGCAAGAAACGCGUACCUUAAUGUCUCUCUUUUCCAUUUUCUACGUGUUUUUCCCUUCUUUAUUUUGUCUGGUGGUUCGAAGAUGGGCCACACACAACUACGGACACUACAGAGGAGAGUAACGAUAUGCAAUCACAUUUGAAUAUGUCUGUACAUGGACUUUUUAGAAACUCUCACAUUCCAUGAUUUGAAGGCCUAGAAUUAUGGGAUUCUAAUUUCUAUCAAAAAUGCAUUUCACCUGAUUUCAAUUCACUGCUCAUCAAGCUAGAUUUUUUUAAUGCGGCAACGUUGAUAGUUUGACAGUCAACAACAAAAUGGCGGAGCAUUUGAGCAAGUUGGAUAUCGUUCAAACGACAGCAGCCUUAAAAUCCCUGCGUUCUCUGAGAAACAAUGUCGCUGCAUUGUUUUACAGCCUCACUGAAGGUAUCGCUCGGACUUCUAUCGGGAUAGGAUAGGAUAGUAAAGAAUCCAGAUUUUCAGCAGAGUUACAACAACAAUUGGUCACAGUUCAAAGUGGUAUCAAGAAUUUCGAAGAAGCUACACACAAUAUUUAUUCUGUUCAAGUCAAUGUGGGAAACAGUAGCCACUUAAAUCAGGAUUGCACCCCUAGCUGACACCUUUAAUCUUUAUGAAUCCAUUGACUGAUAAUCUACAAGAUCUCAUUUGGUGAUUGGAAUGAUGCGCUGCCGUCGUUUAUAGGCCUACUAGUCGAAGACUCGAAACAACGAUGGUGAACAAAAUGGUGGAUCAAGCAAGAAGCAACAGCUGCCUUAAAAUCACUUCGAUAUCUGAGAAAAAUGUCCCGACAUUGUUUCACAGCCAUGCACAGCCUCACUGAAGGUAUCGGACUUCAAUCGGGACAGGAAAUCACGGAAUCCAGAUUUGUAGCAGAGUUACAACAACAAUUGGUCACAUCAGUUGAAAGUGGUGUCAAGAAUUCGAAGAAGCCAUAAACAAGGUUCAAUUCCUUCCUUCAAUUCCAAUUCUGUUCAAGUUAAUUUGGGAAACAGUGGCCACCUAAAUCAGGAUUUCACCCCCGACACCCGUAUGAACACCGUUAUUAAUCAUGUCAUAUCAUAUAAUAUGUCACAUCAUGCAGAUGGACAGAUAAUGCACUAGAUCUUUUGUGGUGCUCAGAAAUAUUUAAUUCUAUAAUUUAUUUUCUUUUGUGUGGCUUGUAGUAUUCCGGUUAUGCUAAAACUCUGAUACUUAGUCAAAAUGCACUCAAGCAUUCUACACAGACCCAUAUGCCAAGAGAAGCAGAAUCCAACAAACGUAGCAAGAGUGUCGUACCACAGUACAUAACUUAAACAAUCUGUCAAAUUGAAUCUCAAGUAAUUGUUUUUAUCGAGUAGACUACUAUUGGUAAUGUCAUCAA
rnacentral:lncRNA from 1 species